rnacentral:rRNA from 1 species
CUUUCCGGUAGGGGUACCUGCGGAGGGAUCAUUACCGAGUUAUACAACUCAUCACCCUGUGACAUACCUAAAACGUUGCUUCGGCGGGAACAGACGGCCCCGUAACACGGGCCGCCCCCGCCAGAGGACCCCUAACUCUGUUUUUAUAAUGUUUUUCUGAGUAAACAAGCAAAUAAAUUAAAACUUUCAACAACGGAUCUCUUGGCUCUGGCAUCGAUGAAGAACGCAGCGAAAUGCGAUAAGUAAUGUGAAUUGCAGAAUUCAGUGAAUCAUCGAAUCUUUGAACGCACAUUGCGCCCGCCAGUAUUCUGGCGGGCAUGCCUGUUCGAGCGUCAUUACAACCCUCAGGCCCCCGGGCCUGGCGUUGGGGAUCGGCGGAAGCCCCCUGCGGGCACACGCCGUCCCUCAAAUACAGUGGCGGUCCCGCCGCAGCUUCCAUUGCGUAGUAGCUAACACCUCGCAACUGGAGAGCGGCGCGGCCACGCCGUAAAACACCCAACUUCUGAAUGUUGACCUCGAAUCAGGUAGGAAUACCCGUUGAACU